CCACUAAGUAUUGAACACCUACUUUGAGUAAUGCUCUGUCUCAGUUAAGCAGUGUGAGUGAUACCUGGAUUAAGGGAAAAAGUGAGCAGAGCCUUGAAGGAUGUCCCAAAUAACUACACUCACAAAUACACUCUCCUGGAGAAGGACCAGCAUUUGCAAAGACACCUGAAGAGUGCAGGUGGUUCUUAGGGGAAGAUGGAUGAUCCUCUGCUGCAGUGAAGGAUAUGGAGGAAAGGAAUUCCUACCAUAGUCAUGACUUUAUUGACCCCAGUGAUGGUAGAAGUGUUGGAGGUGGUUUAUGUGUCUGAUUGGCAGUGGGGAUGGAAAAGAGAAAUGAGGGCUUGCAUGGUAUGAGACGCCUUCACGGGUAUUUCAAGAAUAAUUUAUUUGAAAAAUAUAUGCUUCUUCGGUUCUUUGCAAAGGAGUGAGCAUACCAAUGGCAAAUCAGCUCUCUGGAGGAAGGACCAGGGUAAGAGGCCCGUGCAGAAGCAGAUUCAGUGUGGAUUUAAGCAAGUAAUUCUGGAGUCCCAGGUUGUGUUCUCUGGAAGCAUCUGGAGUCCAAGAUAUUUAUUAGGCAUCAACACCUGUGAAAAGAAGAGAAGCAGAACUGGGCCAAGAGAAGUCAAAUUGCAAAGUAGAACUGACAAGAUCUCAGCUCAUUGAGCGGGGAGCUCUGACGUCAGACUGCCCAUUAGAGUUGUCUCAAAUCAGCUUCAGGCCUUUAUCCUCCAACACCACUCUCCCCUUCUUGCUCAGUUACUGGAUGCAGUCUUCCGGAAAAGGCAUGAUUUCAGGGUUGGAAUUGUGAUUAAGGAAUGAACUGUCCCUGCCCUCAUGGAGUUUAAAGUCUGGAGAGAAAUCAGACAUUGAGCAGGCAUUUAUGUACCAGGAAGA